AUAAGUUCUUGUUAAUUAUUUUUAUUUUAAACAGUAAUGAGUAUAUGUCAUUUCCAUCUUUCCAAUGCCUUCCUUCCCCAUAUAGUUUCCCCUAUAGUAAUCAUAAGAUUGGUUUCGAAAUCUACGAGUUCACUUCUGUUUUAUAACCAAGUUCUUUUGUAUCAUUUUUAUUAUAUUCCACAUAUAAGUGAUAGCAUGUUUGUCUUUCUCAGACUUAUUUCACUCAGUAUGAUAAUCCCUAGUUCCAUCCAUGUUGCUGCAAAUGGCAUUAUUUCAAUAUUUUUACAGUUGAAUAGUAUCCUGUUGUAUAUAUGUACCACUUCUUCAUUAUUCAUUCCUCUCUCGAUGGAAUUUUAGGUUGCUUCCAUGUCUCAGCUAUUGUAAAUAGUGCUGUAAUGAAUAUCCAGGUGCAUGUAUCCUUUCAAAUUAUGGUUAUCUUUUUUCUUUUCUUUUCUUUUCUUUUCUUUUCUUUUCUUUCCUUUUCUUUUCUUUUCUUUUCUUUUUAUUACUCAAAUGAAUUUAUCACAUCUGUAGUUGUAUAAUGAUCAUCACAAUCUGAUUUUACAGGAUUUCCAUCACACAACCCAAGUACAUCCACCCACCCCCCAAACUGUCUCCUCCAGAGAUCAUCAGUUUUUCAAUGUCUGUGAGUCAGCAUCUAUUCUGCAAAGAAGUUCAGUCUGUCCUUUUUUCCGAUUCCACGUGUCAGUGAAAGCAUUUGAUGUUGGUGUCUCAUUGUGUGGCUGAAUUCACUUAGCAUGAUAAUUUCUAGGUCCAUCCAUGUUGCUAAAAAUGCUGGUAUUUCAUUCAUUUUAAUGGCUGAGUAAUAUUCCAUUGUAUAUAUGUACCACCUCUUCUUGAUCCACUCCUCUGUCGAUGGGCAUUUAGGUUGUUUCCAUGUCUUGGCUAUUGAAAAGAGUGCUGCAGUGAACAUUGGAGUACAUGUGUCUUUUCCAGUCAUGGUUUUCUCUGGAUAGAUGCCCAGGAGUGGGAUUGCUGGAUCAAAUGGAGUUCUAUGUUUAGUUUUCUGAGGAAUCUCCAUCCUGCUUUCCACAGUGGUUGCACCAAUUUAUAAUCCCAACAAUCCCAGUGUAACAGGGUUCCUUUUUCUCUACACCCUCUCCAGCACUUAUUGUUUGUAGACUUUUUGAUGAUGGCCAUUCUGGCCAGGGUAAGGUGGUACUUCAUAGUGGUUUUGAUUUGCAUUUCUCUAAUAAUGAAUGAUGUUGAACAUCCUUUCAUGUGUUUCUCAGCCAUCUGUAUGUUUUCUUUGUAGAACUGUCUGUUUAUAUCUUUAAUCUAGUUGACUGUAGGUGCACCGGGUUAAUUCUGGGCUUUCUAUCCUGUUCCAUUGAUCUAUAUUUCUGUCUUUGUGACAGUACCAUGUGGUUUUGAUGAUAGUUGCUUUGUAGUAUAGUCUGAAGUCUGGGAGCCUGAUUCCUCCAGCUCCAUUUUUCUUUUUCAGGAUGUCUUUGACUAUUCUGGGUCUUUUGUGCUUCCACACAAAUGUUAAAAUACUUUGUUUGAGUUCUGUGAAAACUGUCCUUGGUAAUUUGAUAGGGAUUGCAUUGAAUCUGUAGAUUGCCUUAGGUAGUAUAGUCAUUUUGAAAAUAGUAACUCUUCCAGUCCAGGAGCAUGGCAUAUCUUUCCAUCUAUUUGUGUCAUCUUUGAUUUCUUUCAUCAGUGUUUUAUAGUUUUCAGAGUACAAGUCUUUUGUCUCUUUAGGUAGGUUUACUCCUGGGUAUUUUAUUCUUUUGGAUGCAAUGGUAAACAGGAUUGCUUGCCUAAUUUCUUUUUCUGCUCUUUCAUUGUUAGUUGUAUAGAAAUGCCAUCGAUUUCUGUGUAUUACUUUUGUAUUGUGCGACAUUGCCAAAUUCGUGGAUGAGCUCUAACAGUUUUCUGGUAGGGUCUUUAGGAUUCUCUGGAUAUGGUAUCAUGUCAUCUGCAAAUAGUGAUAGUUUUACUUCUUCAUUUCCAAAUUGGAUUCCAUGUAUUUCUUUACUCCUCUGGUUGCUGUGGCUAGGACUUCCAAAAUAUGUUGAA
rnacentral:lncRNA from 1 species